GACGAACGCUGGCGGCGUGCUUAACACAUGCAAGUCGAACGAAGUGGCGAACGGGUGAGUAAUACGUGAGUAACCUGCCCUUCCUUUUGGGAUAAGCCUUGGAAACGGGGUCUAAUACCGAAUAAAGGGGGAUGGGCUCGCGGCCUCUCAGCUUGUUGGUGGGGUGAUGGCCUCCCAAGGCGGUGACGGGUAUCCGGCCUGAGAGGGUGACCGGGCACAUUAGGACUGGUAUACGGCCCAUAGUACGACGUGAGGAAGCAGUGGGGGAUAUUGCACAAAGGGCGAAAGCAGGAUGCAGGGACGUCGGGUGGGGGAUGAAGGCUUUCGGGUUGUAAACCUCUGUCGAGAGCGAACGGGUAGGUGGAGAGGAAGCGCCGGCUAACUACGUGCCAGCAGCCGCGGUAAUUC
rnacentral:rRNA from 1 species